UUUGGAUUAAUUAACUUAGAAAUGAAAUAAAAAACAACAAACUGUGUUAGUUAGCUCAAACAAACCCAUUCUUCUUCUUCAUGGCUCUCAAACUUGAAAUCAUCCAAGGUCCUCGAGCCGGAGAAACCCUAGACUUCCGGCCCGGAUGUACCGUCAGAAUCGGUCGUCUUGUCCGUGGUAACAAUCUCACAAUCAAAGACUCCACCAUCUCAACUAAGCACCUCUCUAUCCAAUCUCAAUCUGGCAAAUGGCUACUUCACCACCUCAGCACCUCCAAUCGCUCUUGCCUCAAUGACGAAAUUAUUGAAACCGACGUCCCCGUCGAGCUCAGCGACGGAGAUUGCAUCAGGAUUGGAGAUUCCACUUCCAUAUCCGUUAAGAUUGGAGUCGACGAUGGGUGCUUUUUGAGGCGAAGAACUAGGCGGGGAGGAGUUGAGGAGAAGAAGGAAGAGGGAUGUGGUUUGGGAGUGGAGAAAGCAGAGGCAAGGAGAGGAAGGAAACCUAAGGUUUUGAAGAGUGUGGUUGAAGAGGAGAAAGAACAGCUGCCGCAAGUGAGAACGAGGCGAACUCGGAGAUGGGAGAAAAUUCAAGAGAAUUCUGAAGUGGAAGGUGGACAAGUCAAGUCAAGACGAGUUAAUGAUGAUGAAGACAUUGACAAGUUGAAUUUGAGGGAACAUGAGUGUGAAAAGGUGGAGGCUACGGUGAUGGAGCUCUGUGAAGAGGAGGAUCAUCAUGGCAGAGAUGGUUGUGGCAUCAAUGGUGGGGUUUGUGAAGAGGGAAAAAAGGAUAAAGCUUUUGGGUCUAAUGAGAAGUUGGGUGAAUCCGGAAAGGAGCCAGAUUUGGAGAAUAUGACACUUGAAGAGUGGUUUGAUUAUUUGAAGAUUGCUCUGCCGAAACAGAUAAUUGAAGCAAGUGAGGAGAUGAUCAAUGGUAUGAGAUUGAAUACUAAAAGGGUUCACAAUUACAUGGUAGAGCAGAAGAAUGAAGCAUUAGAAGUAGCUACUGUGUAAGAUGUUCUUCGUUGGUUUCACUAGAUUAUCUUAGAGACCCAUUAUUGUUUUUAAGGCUACAUUCUGUUUAAUGUGAGUCAUAUUGAAGAUCGAAAUUGGAAAUUUAGAAAUUUAACAGUGUUACUGAGCUUUGUCUCCUCCACUGAAGCUAUCUGCAGUAUACGAAGCUUAAACAAAUGCUCUAAAGGAUCAACUUCUCCUCAACUGGUUUCUUUAUCAUCAGCUUCAUGUGGGUGGUGAAUGCCUUACAAUGUAGGCAUGGUGACAAGUUGACAACAUGAUCCAUAGCAAAUAUGGGGUUCAGGUUGGUUGGUUGCUGCUGCUGUUGCACUUUCUUGGUAGCUCUGUUUAAAAGCUUUAUUGCCUAUGAAAAUUGGUGCAUAUAACAUGGCAAAAGCAUGCUGUUGCAAAUAAAGAAUGUGAUGUGUACAGCGAUAAAUAAUUAGAUUAUAGGAUCUAUUAUUUCAUCACUUCACAGAAUGAAAAAAGGAAAAAGGAAAAAGAGAUCAAACUACAAAUAUAAUUCCUUUCUUAGAAAAAGAAAGCACAAUUACAAUAUUAUGUAAAGUUCCUUCAAGCAUGGCCACUACCUUCCUUAUGGGAUGACGAAUUGUUGGCUCUUCUUGUAUACACCAAAGACCAAUCUUCUACAAUCUGUCAAACUCUUGCUCGUUCACUUCUUCAACAAGCAUUAGACUUGCUGAAUUAUUAUUUUAUGAAGCACUCGUAAACCCAAUCGACUAAGAUGGCUUCUUUCUCAGGAACACUAACUUCAACUCUUGGACAACAUCAUAUGAUAACCAAUAGAAUAGUUCCAAAACUAUAAACAUCAGCUUUGGUCGUAAUAGGUUGGCCCUUAUGCCACUCUGGAGCAAUGAACCCCCUCGUUCCUCUAAUUUCGCUGUGUCCUUGUUUGAUCUGACAUCAGUAGCUUUGCCAGUCCGAAAUUUGCAAUUUUGGCAUUACAAUUCUCAUCGAUCAAUAUGUUGUUGGGAUUUAUGUCACAAUGAAUGAUCUUAUUCUCGCAAUCUUCAUGCAGACAUAAGAUGCCGCGAGCAAUGCCCAAUGUUAUUUUCAUUUUGUCAUUCCAGAUUAAAUUAGUCUCUGAUUUGAAGAGAAAGUUUGAUAAUGAUCCAUGGCUCAUGGUGACCAUAUACUAGAAGCUUGUUUGAAUUUUCAUGGCAAUAACCAAGCAAAUUGACCAGA